GACGAACGCUGGCGGCGUGCCUAAUACAUGCAAGUCGAGCGGACAGAUGGGAGCUUGCUCCCUGAUGUUAGCGGCGGACGGGUGAGUAACACGUGGGUAACCUGCCUGUAAGACUGGGAUAACUCCGGGAAACCGGGGCUAAUACCGGAUGGUUGUUUGAACCGCAUGGUUCAAACAUAAAAGGUGGCUUUGGCUACCACUUACAGAUGGACCCGCGGCGCAUUAGCUAGUUGGUGAGGUAACGGCUCACCAAGGCAACGAUGCGUAGCCGACCUGAGAGGGUGAUCGGCCACACUGGGACUGAGACACGGCCCAGACUCCUACGGGUGGCAG
rnacentral:rRNA from 1 species